rnacentral:rRNA from 1 species
GGACGAGAAGCUUGCUUCUCUGAUGUUAGCGGCGGACGGGUGAGUAACACGUGGAUAACCUACCUAUAAGACUGGGAUAACUUCGGGAAACCGGAGCUAAUACCGGAUAAUAUUUUGAACCGCAUGGUUCAAAAGUGAAAGACGGUCUUGCUGUCACUUAUAGAUGGAUCCGCGCUGCAUUAGCUAGUUGGUAAGGUAACGGCUUACCAAGGCAACGAUGCAUAGCCGACCUGAGAGGGUGAUCGGCCACACUGGAACUGAGACACGGUCCAGACUCCUACGGGAGGCAGCAGUAGGGAAUCUUCCGCAAUGGGCGAAAGCCUGACGGAGCAACGCCGCGUGAGUGAUGAAGGUCUUCGGAUCGUAAAACUCUGUUAUUAGGGAAGAACAUAUGUGUAAGUAACUGUGCACAUCUUGACGGUACCUAAUCAGAAAGCCACGGCUAACUACGUGCCAGCAGCCGCGGUAAUACGUAGGUGGCAAGCGUUAUCCGGAAUUAUUGGGCGUAAAGCGCGCGUAGGCGGUUUUUUAAGUCUGAUGUGAAAGCCCACGGCUCAACCGUGGAGGGUCAUUGGAAACUGGAAAACUUGAGUGCAGAAGAGGAAAGUGGAAUUCCAUGUGUAGCGGUGAAAUGCGCAGAGAUAUGGAGGAACGCCAGUGGCGAAGGCGACUUUCUGGUCUGUAACUGACGCUGAU